UUAAGUAAGGAAGGGCGUACGGCGAAUGCCUUGCCACUCGAAACUGAAGAAGGACGCGCCAAACUGCGAAAAGCUCCGUGAAGCUGUAAGGAAGCGAAGAAGCGGAGGUGUCCGAAUGGGGGAACCCGGCAGCAGACAUGAGCUGUCAUCUGCAGGUGAAUACAUGGCCUGCAAGAGAGGUACCCGGCGAACUGAAACAUCUAAGUAGCCGGAGGAAAAGAAAACAACAGUGAUUCCCUGAGUAGCGGCGAGCGAAAGGGGAGAAGCCCAAACCGGUUGAAGGACCGGGGUUGAAGGACCAUGACAUGGCAAGAACGAGGAUAGGAGAACGGGAUCGAAAGCCCGGCCGAAGAAGGUGAAAGCCCUGUAACCGAAAUCCGAGCAAAGCCUAAUGGGAUCCUGAGUACGGCGAGACACGAGGAAUCUUGUCGGAAGCAGGCGGGACCAUCCGCCAAGGCUAAAUAUAAACGAGUGAGCGAUAGUGAACCAGUACCGUGAGGGAAAGGUGAAAAGAACCGCGGGAGCGGAGUGAAAGAGAACCUGAAACCGUAUGCCUACAAGAAGUCAGAGCCCGUUAAGGGGUGAUGGCGUGCCUUUUGUAGAAUGAACCGGCGAGUUGCGACAGACUGCGAGGUUAAGGAGGAAAGACCGGAGCCGAAGCGAAAGCGAGUCUUAAGAGGGCGAAAGUAGGAUGUUGCAGACCCGAAACCGGGUGAUCUAGCCAUGAGCAGGUUGAAGUUGAGGUGAAACUCAAUGGAGGACCGAACCGACUACCGUUGAAAAGUUAGCGGAUGACUUGUGGCUAGGGGAGAAAUUCCAAUCGAACCCGGAGAUAGCUGGUUCUCCCCGAAAUAGCUUUAGGGCUAGCGUCGGAAAGAACCUUAGUGAAGGUAGAGCACUGAAUGUGUGAUGGCCCCAUCCCGGGGUACUGAAUACAAUCAAACUGCGAAUGUCAUUAAGGAUGUCCGGCAGUCAGACUGUGAGUGAUAAGGUCCAUGGUCAAGAGGGAAACAGCCCAGACCGCCAGUUAAGGUCCCAAAAUACAGGCUAAGUGGAAAAGGAUGUGGGGAUGCCCAGACAACUAGGAGGUUGGCUCAGAAGCAGCCAUCCUUUAAAGAGUGCGUAACAGCUCACUAGUCGAGUGACCCUGCGCCGAAAAUGUACCGGGGCUAAGCCUGAUACCGAAACUGCGGAUUGUAGGAAACUAUAGUGGUAGGGGAGCGUUGUAUACGAGCAGAAGCCGUACCGUGAGGAGCGGUGGAUUGUAUAGAAGUGAGAAUGCCGGUGUGAGUAGCGAGAUGUAGGUGAGAAUCCUACACACCGAAAGCCCAAGGAUUCCAGGGGAAGGUUCGUCCGCCCUGGGUAAGUCGGGACCUAACGCGAGGCCGAAAGGCGUAGUGGAUGGAAAGCAGGCGAAAGAUUCCUGCACCCGUAUAUGGAGCGAAGGAGUGACGGAGACGGAUAGUGUGACCCUCUUAAUGGAUUGAGGGCGAAGCGAAGCGGCUGGUUACCAGGCAAAUCCGGUAACCAUAAGGCUAGAGCGUGACAGGUAAGCGAAAUCUUAGGAAAGUAGCGAAGCACAUGAUGACGGCUUCCAGGAAAAGCUUCUGGCAAUGCAUAUGCGGCCCGUACCAAAACCGACACAGGUGGGCAGGGAGAGAAUCCCGAGGUGAGCGAGAGAACUGUUGCCAAGGAACUCGGCAAAAUGACUCCGUAAGUUAGCGAGAAGGAGUGCUUAAGCAAUUAAGCCGCAGUGAAGAGGCCCAAGCGACUGUUUAACUAAAACACAGCUCUCUGCGAAGUCGCAAGACGAAGUAUAGGGGGUGACACCUGCCCGGUGCUGGAAGGUUAAGAGGAUCUGUUAAGAGCGAUCUGAAGCAGUGAUCCGAAGCCCCAGUGAACGGCGGCCGUAACUAUAACGGUCCUAAGGUAGCGAAAUUCCUUGUCAGGUAAG
rnacentral:rRNA from 1 species